rnacentral:rRNA from 1 species
CCUACGGGGGGCAGCAGUGGGGGAUAUUGCACAAUGGGGGGAACCCUGAUGCAGCGACGCCGCGUGUGGGAAGACGGUCCUCCGGAUUGUAAACCACUGUCCCCAGGGACGAAAAUGACGGUACCUGGGGAGGAAGCUCCGGCUAACUACGUGCCAGCAGCCGCGGUAAUACGUAGGGAGCGAGCGUUGUCCGGAAUUACUGGGUGUAAAGGGAGCGUAGGCGGGGAUGCAAGUUGGGUGUCAAAACUACCGGCUCAACUGGUAGUCGCACUCAAAACUGCAGCUCUUGAGUGAAGUAGAGGCAGGCGGAAUUCCUAGUGUAGCGGUGAAAUGCGUAGAUAUUAGGAGGAACACCAGUGGCGAAGGCGGCCUGCUGGGCUUUUACUGACGCUGAGGCUCGAAAGUGUGGGGAGCAAACAGGAUUAGAUACCCCUGUAGUC